AUUCUAUGAUGAUAUUGUUUUGGUCCGUGUUUCUGAACCACACUGAUUUUACUUUUCAAAACACUGAUUUU